UGAACGCUGGCGGCGUGCCUAAUACAUGCAAGUCGAGCGAACGGACGAGAAGCUUGCUUCUCUGAUGUUAGCGGCGGACGGGUGAGUAACACGUGGAUAACCUACCUAUAAGACUGGGAUAACUUCGGGAAACCGGAGCUAAUACCGGAUAAUAUUUUGAACCGCAUGGUUCAAAAGUGAAAGACGGUCUUGCUGUCACUUAUAGAUGGAUCCGCGCUGCAUUAGCUAGUUGGUGAGGUAACGGCUUACCAAGGCAACGAUGCAUAGCCGACCUGGAAGGGUGAUCGGCCACACUGGAACUGAGACACGGUCCAGACUCCUACGGGAGGCAGCAGUAGGGAAUCUUCCGCAAUGGGCGAAAGCCUGACGGAGCAACGCCGCGUGAGUGAUGAAGGUCUUCGGAUCGUAAAACUCUGUUAUUAGGGAAGAACAUAUGUGUAAGUAACUGUGCACAUCUUGACGGUACCUAAUCAGAAAGCCACGGCUAACUACGUG
rnacentral:rRNA from 1 species